UUUGUUUUUUUUUUUUUUUGGCACUAAAAUUAUUUUGGAUGUUCAGAGUUUCUAGAUACAAGAGUAGAUAGAAUAGGAUCUUGUGGAUGCUUAAAAUGUCAAAUUUUUAGCUCUCAAUAGCAUUUGCCUUUUCAGAGUUUCUGAGAACCUGUUUCUUCAGAUAUUGAUAAUUUGAGUCUCACGUCACAUGAAUGCACUUGUUAAGGUAUUGGAUAUUGUGAUGGCUUUUAUUUUUUUAGGUUGGGGAUUUUGGCCUUGCAAG
rnacentral:misc_RNA from 1 species